rnacentral:rRNA from 1 species
CACGUAGGGUGCGAGCGUUGUCCGGAAUCACUGGGCGUAAAGCGUGCGUAGGCGGUUCGUUAAGUCUGUUGUGAAAGCCCUGGGCUCAACCUGGGAACUGCAGUGGAUACUGGCGAGCUAGAGUACGGUAGAGGAAGGUGGAAUUCCCGGUGUAGCGGUGAAAUGCGUAGAGAUCGGGAGGAACACCAGUGGCGAAGGCGGCCUUCUGGACCAGUACUGACGCUGAGGCACGAAAGCGUGGGGAGCAAACAGG